GUUAGAGGACUCCAGACUUCUCAUUUUUGCUGUCUCUUGUUUUUUCCCCUCCAGUGCAGCGAGCCCACUGAAGUGAGCUGGUGGCCCUGACGGAGUGCAGAAGCAGGCUGCAUGCAUCUCCUUGUGUUGGAACUGGCAGAGAAAAUCGGACACUGGGACAAACAACCAUAAAUCAGGACUGUCCUGAUUAAAUCAGGCAUGGCUGGCAAGAUUCAGAGUUGUCUGCAGUUGGGAAAAAGGGGCUUCAACUGGCAGCAUUACAAAUUGUUCCUUGUCUCAGAAACCUGUGAGGAGAAGGAAAGGAGCCCUUAACCCAGGAUACUGGGUUGAAAUUUUGCCUGCGAUUACAACAGUGUGUAUUGGACAUAAUUCCCCUGAAGCUGGUGGUGAAGCUGCUAUUCUUCCCUCUGAACAAACCAAUUCCUGUCUCUAAAAAUAAGUGAAUUAGAAAAGAAGUAAAGCUACCAUUAAUAAAAUAAACGUGUUUAUUUGGUAAGCA
rnacentral:lncRNA from 1 species